rnacentral:rRNA from 1 species
AGUGAACGCUGGCGGUAGGCCUAACACAUGCAAGUCGAACGGCAGCACAGGAGAGCUUGCUCUCUGGGUGGCGAGUGGCGGACGGGUGAGGAAUACAUCGGAAUCUACUUUUUCGUGGGGGAUAACGUAGGGAAACUUACGCUAAUACCGCAUACGACCUACGGGUGAAAGCAGGGGACCUUCGGGCCUUGCGCGAUUGAAUGAGCCGAUGUCGGAUUAGCUAGUUGGCGGGGUAAAGGCCCACCAAGGCGACGAUACGUAGCUGGUCUGAGAGGAUGAUCCGCCACACUGGAACUGAGACACGGUCCAGGCUCCUACGGGAGGCAGCAGUGGGGAAUAUUGGACAAUGGGCGCAAGCCUGAUCCAGCCAUACCGCGUGGGUGAAGAAGGCCUUCGGGUUGUAAAGCCCUUUUGUUGGGAAAGAAAUCCAGCUGGCUAAUACCCGGUUGGGAUGACGGUACCCAAAGAAUAAGCACCGGCUAACUUCGUGCCAGCCGCCGCGGUAA